GGGGCUGCACCUGGCCUUAUGGGCUGAGAAGAAAGCCAAGGUCAUUGCAGUAAUGAAUGCUGUGGAAGCAAACCAGGGUUCCUGGGAGUCUCAGAAGGUGGAGGAGGCCAGCCCUCCUGCUGUGCAGCAGCCCACUGACCCUGCAUCCCCCACUGUGGCCACCAUGCCAGAGCCCGUGGGGGCCGAUGCUGGGGACAAGAAUGCUACCAAAGCAGGCGAUGAUAAGCUGGAGUAGGAGGACGGCCGGGGCUUUGGCAUUGGGGAGCUGGUGUGGGGGAAACUGCAGGGCUUCUCGUGGUGGCCAGGCCACAUUGUGUCUUGGUGGAUGACAGGCCGGAGCCGAGCAGCUGAAGGCACCCGCUGGGUCAUGUGGUUCGGAGAUGGCUAGUUCUCAGUGGUGUGUGUUGAGAAGCUGAUGCCGCUGAGCUCGUUUUGCAGUGCGUUCCACCAGGCCAUGUAACACGAGCAGCCCAUGUACCGCAAAGCCAUCUAUGAGGUCCUGCUGGUGGCCAGCAGCCGUGCGGGGAAGCUGUUCCCAGUGUGCCACGACAGUGACGAGAGUGACACUGCCAAGGCCGUGGACGUGCAGAACAAGCAGAUGAUUGAAUGGGCCCUGGGGGUCUUCCAGCCCUCUGGUCCCAAGGGCCUGGAGCCACCAGAAGGGGAAAAGAAUUCCUACAAAGAAGUGUACACGGACAUGUGGGUGGAACCUGAGGCAGCUGCCUAGGCACCACCUCCACCAGCCAAAAAGCCCUGGAAGAGCACAACGGAGAAGCCCAAGGUCAAGGAGAUCAUCGAUGAUGAGUGCACAAGAGAGCGGCUGAUGUACGAGGUGCGGCAGAAGUGCCAGAACAUGGAGGACAUCUGCAUCUCCUGUGGGAGCUUCAACGUCACCCUGGAACACCCCCUCUUCAUUGGAGGAAUGUGCCAAAACUGCAAGAACUGCUUUCUGGAGUGUGCAUACCAGUACGAUGACGACGGCUAUCAGUCCUACUGCACCAUCUGCUGCGGGGGCCGAGAAGUGCUUAUGAGCGGGAACAACAACUGCUGCAGGUGCUUUUGUGUGGAAUGUGUGGACCUCUUGGUGGGGCCGGGGGCUGCCCAGGCAGCCAUUAAGGAAGACCCCGGGAACUGCUACAUGUGUGGGCACAAGGGCACCUACGGGCUGCUGCGGCGGCAAGACGACUGGCCCUCCUGGCUCCAGAUGUUCUUCGCUAAUAACCACGACCAGGAAUUUGACCCUCUAAAGGUUUACCCACCUGUCCCAGCUGAGAAGAGGAAGCCCAUUCGGGUGCUGUCUCUCUUUGACAGAAUUGCUACAGGGCUCCUGGUGCUGAAGGACUUGGGCAUUCAGGUGGACCGCUACAUUGCCUCGGAGGUGUGUGAGGGCUCCAUCACGGUGGGCAUGGUGCCGCACCAGGGGAAGAUCAUGUACGUUGGGGACGUCCGCAGCGUCACACAGAAGCAUAUCCAGGAGUGGGGCCCAUUUGAUCUUGUAAUUGGGGGCAGUCCCUGCAAUGACCUCUCCAUUGUCAACCCUGCUCGCAAGGGCCUCUGCGAGGGCACUGGCGGGCUCUUCUUUGAGUUCUACCGCCUCCUGCAUGAUGCGCGGCCCAAGGAGGGAGAUGACCGCCCCUUCUUCUGGCUCUUUGAGAAUGUGGUGGCCAUGGGCGUUGGUGACAAGAGGGACAUCUCGCGAUUUCUCGAGUCCAACCCUGUGAUGAUUGAUGCCAAAGAAGUGUCAGCUGCACACAGGGCCCGCUACUUCUGGGGUAACCUUCCCGGUAUGAACAGGCCAUUGGCAUCCACUGUGAAUGGUAAGCUGGAGCUGCAGGAGUGUCUGGAGCAUGGAAGGAUAGCCAAGUUCAGCAAAGUGAGGACCAUUACUACAAGGUCAAACUCCAUAAAGCAAGGCGUAGACCAGCAUUUCCCCAUCUUCAUGAAUGAGAAAGAGGACAUCCUAUGGCGCACUGAAAUGGAAAGGGUAUUUGGUUUCCCUGUCCACUAUGCCGACGUCUCCAACAUGAGCCGCUUGGCGAGGCAGAGACUGCUGGGACGGUCGUGGAGCGUGCCAGUCAUCCGCCACCUCUUCGCUCCGCCGAAGGAGUAUUUUGCGUGUGUGCGAGGGACAUGGGGGCAAACUGAGGUAGCAACACAAAGUUAAACAAACAAAACAACACAAAACAUAAUAAAACACCAAGAACGUGAGGAUGGAGAGAAGUAUCAGCACCCAGAAGAGAAAAAGGAAUUUAAAACAAAAACCACAGAGGCUGAAAUACCGGAGGGCUUUGCCUUGCGAAAAGGGUUGGACAUCAUCUCCUGAUUUUUCAAUGUUAUUCUUCAGUCCUAUUUAAAAACAAAACCAAGCUCCCUCCCCUUCCUCCCCCUCCCG